UACGUAGGGUGCAAGCGUUGUCCGGAAUUAUUGGGCGUAAAAGAGCUCGUAGGUGGCGUGUCGCGUCUGCCGUGAAAGCCCAUGGCUUAACUGUGGGUCUGCGGUGGAUACGGGCAGGCUGGAGGCUGGUAGGGGCAAGCGGAAUUCCUGGUGUAGCGGUGAAAUGCGCAGAUAUACAGGAGGAACACCGGUGGCGAAGGCGGCUUGCUGGGCCAGUUCUGAGCGCUGAGGAGCGAAAGCGUGGGGAGCGAACAGGG
rnacentral:rRNA from 1 species